AACGAACGCUGGCGGCAUGCCUAACACAUGCAAGUCGAACGAGACCUUCGGGUCUAGUGGCGCACGGGUGCGUAACGCGUGGGAACCUGCCCUUAGGUUCGGAAUAACUCCCCGAAAGGGGUGCUAACACCGGAUAAUGUCUUCGGACCAAAGAUUUAUCGACUUUGGAUGGGCCAGCGUUGGAUUAGCUAGUUGGUAGGGUAAAGGCUACCAAGGCGACGAUCCAUAGCUGGUCUGAGAGGAUGAUCAGCCACACUGGGACUGAGACACGGCCCAGACUCCUACGGGAGGCAGCAGUGGGGAAUAUUGGACAAUGGGCGAAAGCCUGAUCCAGCAAUGCCGCGUGAGUGAUGAAGGCCUUAGGGUUGUAAAGCUCUUUUACCCGGGAUGAUAAUGACAGUACCGGGAGAAUAAGCUCCGGCUAACUCCGUG
rnacentral:rRNA from 1 species